rnacentral:tRNA from 1 species
GAUCCUAUAAAAUCAAUUGCUAGACCCACAUUCCUAAUCUGGGGGUCGCGCGUUCGAAUCGCGCCGGGAUCACCA